AAACAGUCACCUAUGUUUUAAACCUUUGGCAGUUUUGGCCCCCAAGGCCACUUUUGACUUAGUCUUCGCUGACGUGGCACCCACAAUCGUCGACACAUGACACCUCACUUAAGGGAUGUGGGAGCCACGUCAGCGAAGACGAAGUCAAAAGUGGCAUUGGGGCCAAAACUGCCAAAGAUCCAACUCAAUAGGGGGGUUGUUU
rfam:Medicago truncatula strain A17 chromosome 4, whole genome shotgun sequence.